GAGCUUGCUCAGAUAUGACGAUGGACAUUGCAAAGAGUGGCGAACGGGUGAGUAACACGUGGGAAACCUACCUCUUAGCAGGGGAUAACAUUUGGAAACAGAUGCUAAUACCGUAUAACAAUGACAACCGCAUGGUUGUUAUUUGAAAGAUGGUUCUGCUAUCACUAAGAGAUGGUCCCGCGGUGCAUUAGCUAGUUGGUAAGGUAAUGGCUUACCAAGGCGAUGAUGCAUAGCCGAGUUGAGAGACUGAUCGGCCACAAUGGGACUGAGACACGGCCCAUACUCCUACGGGAGGCAGCAGUAGGGAAUCUUCCACAAUGGGCGAAAGCCUGAUGGAGCAACGCCGCGUGUGUGAUGAAGGGUUUCGGCUCGUAAAACACUGUUGUAAGAGAAGAAUGACAUUGAGAGUAACUGUUCAAUGUGUGACGGUAUCUUACCAG
rnacentral:rRNA from 1 species